CCAGUUUCUGGAUAAAUUUCGAGUCGCGGUCUCGCAGUUCGUUCAGUAAUCAUUAAGAUAAUCAGUUUGUGCGUCUGCCAUCAAGAUAUUUCUCGCUCUAACUUGAAUUUCGAGGAAGCGAGCACGAGCCGAACGUGGUCCAACCAGAAACGCGCAAGGCGUGGAGGGACUUGGCUACACAGCAGUGGUUACGAGGAGUUGAGCGAGCACGAGCCGAGCGUGGGUCGAACCAGAAACGUGCGAAGCGUGGAAGGACUUAGCUACAUAGCAGUGCUUACAGGGAGU